rnacentral:rRNA from 1 species
UGGGGAAUCUUGGACAAUGGGGGCAACCCUGAUCCAGCGAUGCCGCGUGAGUGAAGAAGGCCUUAGGGUUGUAAAGCUCUUUCACCCGUGAAGAUAAUGACGGUAGCGGGAGAAGAAGCCCCGGCUAACUCCGUGCCAGCAGCCGCGGUAAGACGGAGGGGGCUAGCGUUGUUCGGAAUGACUGGGCGUAAAGGGCGCGUAGGUGGUUUUUCAAGUCAGGCGUGAAAGCCCCGGGCUUAACCUGGGAACUGCGCUUGAUACUGGAUGACUAGAGGACGAGAGAGGAAAGUGGAAUUCCGAGUGUAGAGGUGAAAUUCGUAGAUAUUCGGAGGAACAUCAGAGGCGAAGGCGGCUUUCUGGCUCGUAUCUGACGCUGAGGCGCGAAAGCGUGGGGAGCAAACA